GACAGAGAACAGUGUUGAGAGUCCUGGGGUGGCAACACCUGGGUCCUCUUAUCAUCUGAGUCACAGACUCACCAGGCAGCUGCUCCCAACCCCAGCAACUUUGCUAUCUUAGAACGGAUCACCAGUGAAAGAGGGGAAGUUGCUACUGUGAUGAAUUCUGCCAUGUGGUACCAGACUGCUGCCCAGACCACAGUGUCCUCUGCAACCCUGGUAACUCACAUACAGGCCUGAUUCCACCUACAGCAAAGCUGGAUGCUAUGGUUGGCAGAGGCAAGCCCCUUGCCUGCACUUCAGGCCAAAGCCGGGAUGUGGCCUAGAUGGUUCCUAAGGUCCCUGACAGUCCUGAGAUCUUUCAUCUUGUCUAUUUCAGGUCAAAGGUGCCUACAUGUUCCUUCUAGCUUUGUUUCCCUGAUGUUCCUUGCCACCUGCUACUCCUCUCUGAGCUACUUUUCCAGGUUCCACAGGGAGAGGUUCAGCUGUCCAUGGUAGACAUGAGGGUAGAGAAUGAGAUGGUUGGGUUCCACUUACCUUUCUAUCAUCUUGCAGUAUGGAUGUCUCUUGACUGGUACCAUGUAGACUUUUGAGGGCAGACAGGAGUCUGCAGAGAGAUACUGGGGAUAUUGAGCAGCAGCAAUGGGGUUGGGAGGCAGAAAUGAGGACAGGAACAUUUACCUUGUGUUUCUCUCAGCUUCUCAGAUGACCAAGAUGGUGCUGCCGAUGGUGUUGAGGACGGAGAACCCACCAAG
rnacentral:lncRNA from 1 species